rnacentral:piRNA from 1 species
UGAGGUCACUAAUUACAGAGAAGCAG